AAUGGGCGCAAGCCUGAACGAGCGAUGCCGCGUGAGCGAUGAAGGCCUUCGGGUUGUAAAGCUCAAAAGGGGUGAGAAAGGGCAACUUGAUCGAACCCCAGUAAGCUCGGGCUAAGUUCGUGCCAGCAGCCGCGGUAAGACGAACCGAGCGAACGUUGUUCGGAAUCACUGGGCUUAAAGGGCGCGUAGGCGGGUGCUCAAGUCCGGGGUGAAAUCCCACAGCUCAACUGUGGAACUGCCUCGGAUACUGGGUGUCUCGAGGGUGGUAGGGGGUAUGCGGAACUAUCGGUGGAGCGGUGAAAUGCGUUGAUAUCGAUAGGAACUCCGGUGGCGAAGGCGGCAUACUGGACCACUUCUGACGCUGAGGCGCGAAAGCCAGGGGAGCAAACGGGAUUAGAUACCCCGGUAGUCCUGGCCCUAAACGAUGGGAACUAGCUAGUAGGCUUCACAUGGGUUUACUGGCGAAGCAAAAGUGCUAAGUUCCCCGCCUGGGGAGUAUGGUCGCAAGGCUG
rnacentral:rRNA from 1 species